UACGUAGGUGGCAAGCGUUAUCCGGAUUUAUUGGGUGUAAAGGGCGUGUAGGCGGGAGUGCAAGUCAGAUGUGAAAACCACGGGCUCAACCUGUGGCCUGCAUUUGAAACUGUACUUCUUGAGUACUGGAGAGGCAGACGGAAUUCCUAGUGUAGCGGUGAAAUGCGUAGAUAUUAGGAGGAACACCAGUGGCGAAGGCGGUCUGCUGGACAGCAACUGACGCUGAGGCGCGAAAGCGUGGGGAGCAAACAGG
rnacentral:rRNA from 1 species